rnacentral:rRNA from 1 species
GUCUGCUGGCUCGCGAGAGCAUGUGCACGCCUGUCUUCAUCCACUCUCAACUUCUGUGCACUUUUCAUAGGCCGGCUUGUGGGUGCGCGUUCGCGUGCGUCUGUAGGUCUGGUUUAUGCUUUACUACAAACGAAUCAGUUUUAGAAUGUCAUACUUUGCUAUAACGCAAUUAUAUACAACUUUCAGCAACGGAUCUCUUGGCUCUCGCAUCGAUGAAGAACGCAGCGAAAUGCGAUAAGUAAUGUGAAUUGCAGAAUUCAGUGAAUCAUCGAAUCUUUGAACGCACCUUGCGCUCCUUGGUAUUCCGAGGAGCAUGCCUGUUUGAGUCUCAUGGAAUUCUCAACCUUCGACUUUGUUGUCGGAGGCUUGGACUUGGAGGUCGUGUCGGCUCUCGUAGUCGACUCCUCUGAAAUGCAUUAGUGCGAACGUUACCAGCCGCUUCAGCGUGAUAAUUAUCUGCGUUGCUGUGGAGGGUAUGCUAGUGUUCGCGCUUCUAACCGUCUUCGGACAACAUUUCUAAACUCUGAGCUCAAAUCAGGUAGGACUACCCGCUGAACUUAAGCAUAUCAAUAAGCGGAGGAAAAGAAACUAACAAGGAUUCCCCUAGUAACUGCGAGUGAAGCGGGAAAAGCUCAAAUUUAAAAUCUGGCGGUCUUCGGCCGUCCGAGUUGUAAUCUGGAGAAGCGUCUUCCGCGCUGGACCGUGUACAAGUCUCUUGGAACAGAGCGUCACAGAGGGUGAGAAUCCCGUCUUUGACACGGACUACCAGUGCUAUGUGAUGCGCUCUCGACGAGUCGAGUUGUUUGGGAAUGCAGCUCAAAAUGGGUGGUAAAUUCCAUCUAAAGCUAAAUAUUGGCGAGAGACCGAUAGCGAACAAGUACCGUGAGGGAAAGAUGAAAAGCACUUUGGAAAGAGAGUUAAACAGUACGUGAAAUUGCUGAAAGGGAAACGAUUGAAGUCAGUCGCGUGUGCUAGAACUCAGCCUUGCUUUUGCUCGGUGCAUUUUCUAGUGUACGGGCCAGCAUCAGUUUCGGUCGCCGGAAAAAGGCCUUGGGAAUGUGGCACCUUCGGGUGUGUUAUAGCCCUCGGUUGUAUACGGUGGCUGGGACUGAGGAACAUAGCACGCCUUUACGGCGGGGCUUCGGCCACCUUCGUGCUUUGGAUGCUGGCGUAAUGGCUUUAAACGACCCGUCUUGAAACACGGACCAAGGAGUCUAACAUGCCUGCGAGUGUUUGGGUGGAAAACCCGAGCGCGCAAUGAAAGUGAAAGUUGGGACUUCUGUCGUGGAAGGCACCGACGCCCGGACCAGACCUUCUGUGACGGAUCCGCGGUAGAGCAUGUAUGUUGGGACCCGAAAGAUGGUGAACUAUGCCUGAAUAGGGUGAAGCCAGAGGAAACUCUGGUGGAGGCUCGUAGCGAUUCUGACGUGCAAAUCGAUCGUCAAAUUUGGGUAUAGGGGCGAAAGACUAAUCGAACCAUCUAGUAGCUGGUUCCUGCCGAAGUUUCCCUCAGGAUAGCAGAAACUCGUAUCAGAUUUAUGUGGUAAAGCGAAUGAUUAGAGGCCUUGGGGUUGAAACAACCUUAACCUAUUCUCAAACUUUAAAUAUGUAAGAACGAGCCGUCACUUGA